ACGGCGUUCUCGCCGGAUGUAGGAACCGACCCGGGGGACCGCCGGGGCAACCCGGCGCCCCCGAGACGGGGCGAACCACGGUGAAAUGACGGAUCGUCGGCCCCGCGCCGGCGACUCGCCGAAUGAGUUUCUGACCUAUCAACUCGAGACGGCGGGGUAGAGGCCCGCCGCGGUAACGACGGGUAACGGGGAAUCAGGGUUCGAUUCCGGAGAGGGAGCCCGAGAAACGGCUACCACUUCCAAGGAAGGCAGCAGGCGCGCAACUUACCCUAAUCUCGAUUCGAGGAGGUAGUGACAAGAAAUACCGAUGCGGGACCCUACGGGUGCCGCGUUCGGAAUGAGUACGAUUCGAACCACCUAACGAGGAACGAUCGGAGGGCAAGUCUGGUGCCAGCAGCCGCGGUAAUUCCAGCUCCAAUAGCGUACGUUAAAGUUGCUGCAG
rnacentral:rRNA from 1 species